GGGAUGGCUCAGUGGUUAAGAGCACUGGUUUCUCUUCCAGAGAACCUGGAUUCCAUUCCCAGUACCCA
rnacentral:tRNA from 1 species